rnacentral:rRNA from 1 species
UACGGAGGGUGCGAGCGUUGUCCGGAAUCAUUGGGCGUAAAGGGCGCGUAGGUGGCCCGGUCAGUCGAUGGUGAAAGCGCGGGGCUCAACUCCGCGUCGGCCGUCGAUACUGCGGGGCUGGAGCACUGUAGAGGCAGGCGGAAUUCCGGGUGUAGCGGUGGAAUGCGUAGAGAUCCGGAAGAACACCGGUGGCGAAGGCGGCCUGCUGGGCAGUAGCUGACACUGAGGCGCGACAGCGUGGGGAGCAAACGGG